rnacentral:rRNA from 1 species
UACGUAGGGUGCGAGCGUUGCCCGGAUUUAUUGGGCGUAAAGGGUGCGUAGGCGGCGCGGUAAGUCGGGUGUGAAAUCUCGGAGCUUAACUCCGAAACUGCAUUCGAUACUGCCGUGCUUGAGGACUGGAGAGGAGACUGGAAUUUACGGUGUAGCGGUGAAAUGCGUAGAUAUCGUAAGGAAGACCAGUGGCGAAGGCGGGUCUCUGGACAGUUCCUGACGCUGAGGCACGAAGGCCAGGGGAGCAAACGGG